rnacentral:tRNA from 3 species
GGUGAUUAGCUCAGCUGGGAGAGCACCUCCCUUACAAGGAGGGGGUCGGCGGUUCGAUCCCGUCAUCACCACCA